GGAAUUAUUCCGGCGUAUAGAGCUCGUAGGUGGCUUGCUCGCGUCUGCCGUGAAAGCCCGUGGCUUAACUACGGGUCUGCGGUGGAUACGGGCAGGCUAGAGGCUGGUAGGGGCAAGCGGAAUUCCUGGUGUAGCGGUGAAAUGCGCAGAUAUCAGGAGGAACACCGGUGGCGAAGGCGGCUUGCUGGGCCAGUUCUGACGCUGAGGAGCGAAAGCGUGGGGAGCGAACAGGAUUAGAUACCCUGGUAGUCCACGCUGUAAACGUUGGGCGCUAGGUGUGGGGGUCUUCCACGACUUCUGUGCCGUAGCUAACGCAUAAGCGCCCCCGCCUGGGGAGUACGGCCGGCAAGGCUAAAACUCAAAGGAAUUGAACGGGGGCCCGCACAAGCGGCUGAGCAUGUUGCUUAAUUCGACGCAACGCGAAGAACCUUACCAAGGUUUGACAUACACCGGAAACAUUCAGAGAUGGGUGCCUCCUUUGGACUGGUGUAACAGGUGGUGCAUGGCUGUCGUCAGCUCGUGUCGUGAGAUGUUGGGUUAAGUCCCGCAACGAGCGCAACCCUUGUUCCAUGUUGCCAGCACGCCCUUCGGGGUGGUGGGGACUCAUGGGAGACUGCCGGGGUCAACUCGGAGGAAGGUGGGGAUGACGUCAAGUCAUCAUGCCCCUUAUGUCUUGGGCUGCAAACAUGCUACAAUGGUCGGUACAGAGGGUUGCGAUACCGUGAGGUGGAGCGAAUCCCUAAAAGCCGGUCUCAGUUCGGAUUGGGGUCUGCAACUCGACCCCAUGAAGUCGGAGUCGCUUGUAAUCGCAGAUCAGCAACGCUGCGGUGAAUACGUUCCCGGGCCUUGUACACACCGCCCGUCACGUCACGAAAGUCGGCAACACCCGAAGCCCGUGGCCCAACCACUUGUGGGGGGAGCGGUCGAAGGUGGGGACUGGCGAUUUGGGAGCGAAGUCGUAA
rnacentral:rRNA from 1 species